UACGUAGGGGGCAAGCGUUGUCCGGAUUAUUGGGCGUAAAGAGCGUGUAGGCGGUCAGGUAGGUCCGCUGUGAAAACUCGAGGCUCAACCUCGAGACGCCGAUGGAAACCAUCUGACUAGAGUCCGGAAGAGGAGAGUGGAAUUCCUGGUGUAGCGGUGAAAUGCGCAGAUAUCAGGAAGAACACCCGUGGCUAAGGCGGCUCUCUAGUACGGUACUGACGCUGAGACGCGAAAGCGUGGGGAGCGAACAGGG
rnacentral:rRNA from 1 species